rnacentral:lncRNA from 1 species
CGUGGACUUUGUACACACUUUUACUGAGCAUCUGCAAUUACCCUGGCACUCAGACCUCUUGGACCUCGCUGCAGGCAUCCAUGCUGUCCCUGAGACACCCUCCAGCCCCAC